GCUCCCCGCUGAGCAAUGAGCACAAGGCAGAAAUUGAUCCCAGGACCCCCAGAUCAUGACCCCAGCCGAAGGCAGAUGCUUAACCAACUCAGCCACCCAGGCAUCCCAGCUUGUUAUUUUCUUACUGUAUCAUAUGUCUUAAAGAAUCAAAAGGAUGUUGCGUUUGGAUUUGGAAGACCUGGAUCUAGUUCCUAAUUCUGCCUUUGCUGUGAUCAUAAGUCAGCCAUCAUGUGCCUCAGUUUUCCUCAUCCGUAAAAUGGGAACAGCAAUAGCUUUUGACCCACCUGACUGGACUAUUAUGAAAGCUAUCCCACACCCUUAGCCGAGAAUCAUGGAGGCCUCCCAUGUUCCCUUGGGGGUGACCUGCUUCAUUGCUAAGAUCCUCUGGCUCUUCUAUUGUGUAUGGAAUCACACAGGCUUAAGUUCUAAAAGAAAUGCUGCAGGUGCUGGUGUUGGGUUCCCAAAGAGCACAGCUCAGUCGUGGGAGAUAUCUGUCAACCAUGAGGAAGCCCAGGUGAUGACGAAAAUGUCCUGAGCACCUCUUUUGGGUCCUUUGAAGUGUAAUAGCAAUUUUAAUCAAGUGGUUAUUACUGACAUUCAUUGGAAGCUUACAGAUGAAGGAACUGAGGCUCAGAACUGGGAAUUCAAAGUUUUUAGAACCAACACAUGAAAAUGGCUCAGAGGCCCUGGACUUAAGGAAAGGAGAUGAUCAAGGAGAUAAUGAUCAAGAAACUGAGUCUCAAAAAAUAUUUGAUGGAAGUCUAUCUGGGUCUAAUGCCAGGGCUUCUAACCAAUCCACACUAUAAUGUUUGAAUACAAAGAAAUAUCCUGGCAUUGGUUGGAACCACUCCAUCUUUUCCUCUGCAAACUCUCUUCAGGCCUGGUGACAGGUAUGGCACUUUCACUUUCUUUUUCAGUUUGCUCCUUAAAUUGGUGGCAAUACCACAUAGCAAAUAAGGCCACAAUGCUUGGAGUCUGGCUGAACUUGGGUUUCAAUUCUAGCAAUGAUUUCAUGAAUAUGAAACCAGAGGCAUAAGCCACAAAAGCAAGAAUAGAUGGCACCACAUUAAAUUAAAAGGCUUCUGCACAGCAAAGAAAAGAAUCAAGAGAGUGAAAAGGCAACUUACAGAAUGGGAGAAAAUAUUAGCAAACCAUAUAUCUAACAAAGGAUUAAUCUCCAAAUUAUAUAAGAAACUCCUACAACUCACUAACAAAAAAACUAAUGACCCAAUUUAAAAAUCAGCUAAGAACUUGAAUUAGACAUUUCUCCAAAGAAAACAUGCAUAUAGUCAACAGGUAUGGGAAAAAUUGUUCCAUGUCACUAAUU